rnacentral:rRNA from 1 species
GAUGAACGCUGGCGGCGUGCCUAAUACAUGCAAGUCGAGCGAACAGAUAAGGAGCUUGCUCCUUUGACGUUAGCGGCGGACGGGUGAGUAACACGUGGGUAACCUACCUAUAAGACUGGAAUAACUCCGGGAAACCGGGGCUAAUGCCGGAUAACAUUUAGAACCGCAUGGUUCUAAAGUGAAAGAUGGUUUUGCUAUCACUUAUAGAUGGACCCGCGCCGUAUUAGCUAGUUGGUAAGGUAACGGCUUACCAAGGCAACGAUACGUAGCCGACCUGAGAGGGUGAUCGGCCACACUGGAACGGAGACACGGUCCAGACUCCUACGGGAGGCAGCAGUGGGGAAUCCUCCGCGAUGGGCGAAAGCCUGACGGAGCAACGCCGCGUGAGUGAUGAAGGUCUUCGGAUCGUAAAACUCUGUUAUUAGGGAAGAACAAAUGUGUAAGUAACUGUGCACGUCUUGACGGUACCUAAUCAGAAAGCCACGGCUAACUACGUG